AACGAACGCUGGCGGCAUGCCUAACACAUGCAAGUCGAACGAGACCUUCGGGUCUAGUGGCGCACGGGUGCGUAACGCGUGGGAACCUGCCCUUAGGUUCGGAAUAACUCCCCGAAAGGGGUGCUAAUACCGGAUAAUGUCUUCGGACCAAAGAUUUAUCGCCUUUGGAUGGGCCCGCGUUGGAUUAGCUAGUUGGUAGGGUAAAAGCCUACCAAGGCGACGAUCCAUAGCUGGUCUGAGAGGAUGAUCAGCCACACUGGGACUGAGACACGGCCCAGACUCCUACGGGAGGCAGCAGUGGGGAAUAUUGUACAAUGGGCGAAAGCCUGAUCCAGCAAUGCCGCGUGAGUGAUGAAGGCCUUAGUGUUGUAAAGCUCUUUUACCCGGGAUGAUAAUGACAGUACCGGGAGAAUAAGCGCCGGCUAACUCCGUG
rnacentral:rRNA from 1 species